AUUGAACGCUGGCGGCAGGCCUAACACAUGCAAGUCGAGCGGAUGAAGGGAGCUUGCUCCUGGAUUCAGCGGCGGACGGGUGAGUAAUGCCUAGGAAUCUGCCUGGUAGUGGGGGAUAACAUCCGGAAACGGGCGCUAAUACCGCAUACGUCCUGAGGGAGAAAGUGGGGGAUCUUCGGACCGCACGCUAUCAGAUGAGCCUAGGUCGGAUUAGCUAGUUGGUGGGGUAAAGGCCUACUAAGCCGACGAUCCGUAACUGGUCUGAGAGGAUGAUCGGUCACACUGGAACUGAGACAGGGUCAAGACUCCUACGGGAGGCAGCAGUGGGCAAUAUUAGACAGUGGGCGAAAGCCUGAUACAGCCAUGGCGCGCGUGUGAAGAAGGUCUUCGGAUUGUAAAGCACUCUAAGUUGGGGGAAAGGGCAGUAAGUUAAUACCUUGCUGUUUUGACGUUACCAGCAGAAUAAGCACCGGCUAACUUCGUG
rnacentral:rRNA from 1 species